rnacentral:lncRNA from 10 species
AAUGUUGGGAACCGAUCUGAUUCCAAGGAUUGAGAAGUUUUGCAGUGGUCAACUGGUAUAGACAUCCCAUUACCACUACUUCCUUCAUUGGACUGCAAGGUAUUUCUGUUUGGAAAAGUAAUGGAGUCCAGUCAACUUCAUUGAUCGCCAAGGACUGUCAAAAUUAUAAAACUUGCUGUGGAGCUCUGACAUGCCAGAAGCCGCUAGAAAAAGAAGUUUGACAUUCAGAAACUUAUCAAGAGGUUCUACUCUUUGGAUAGAGACCAAAAUCAUACUUUGAAUGAUAUGCAAUGCAAGACUCCCAAGAUUCUGGGCAGUGGCAGGGAGGUGCAGCUUCUAGUCUGCCGCAUGAUCACAAUGUCAGCUGGUCCCUCUUCUCAGGUGUAGAUCACCUAUUAUAAUUUUACCUAAUUUUGAUACUCUGAUAAGGAAAGUCCCAGGACUUAUCAGCUGGGAUAGGCCUCACUUACAAGACAGCUCUGUUCAGUAUUUGGAAGAAAGCCUGACAGGUUUCUUCGGAAAAGUGGCCAUCCAUGGAAUGAAUGAAAUGUUCUCUUUCUAUUCCACCUCUAGAGACCAUCAAAAAACAAUGGCUCAUAAUGCUUUUAGAACAGAAACUGAAGUUGUAUACUGUGCAUAUGUAAUCCUACACAAGAGGAAGGCAAUGUUUAAAGCUGCUGUCACCUCUUAGGGAAAAAACUGGAAUUCUGAGUCAA